rnacentral:rRNA from 1 species
GGGCAGGUUACACGGCAGUUCACCGGAGCGCCGGACACGGAUAUUUCCGGUAGGAAGCGUGCGGAGGCUUAGUGGCGGACGGGUGAGUAACGCGUGGAUAACCUGCCGCAUACCGGGGGAUAACAGCUGGAAACAGCUGCUAAUACCGCAUAUGCCCGCAGUGCCGCAUGGCACAGCGGGGAAAACUCCGGUGGUAUGCGAUGGGUCCGCGUCUGAUUAGGCAGUUGGCGGGGUAACGGCCCACCAAACCGACGAUCAGUAGCCGGCCUGAGAGGGCGGACGGCCACACUGGGGCUGAGACACGGCCCAGACUCCUGCGGGAGGCAGCAGUGGGGAAUAUUGCACAAUGGGGGAAACCCUGAUGCAGCGACGCCGCGUGAAGGAAGAAGUAUCUCGGUAUGUAAACUUCUAUCAGCAGGGAAGAAAACAGACGGUACCUGACUAAGAAGCCCCGGCUAACUACGUGCCAGCAGCCGCGGUAAUACGUAGGGGGCAAGCGUUAUCCGGAUUUACUGGGUGUAAAGGGGGCGCAGACGGCCAUGGCAAGCCCGGUGUGAAAGGCAGGGGCAUAACCCCUGGACUGCACUGGGAACUGUCAGGCUGGAGUGCCGGAGGGGUAAGCGGAAUUCCUGGUGUAGCGGUGAAAUGCGUANAUAUCAGGAGGAACACCGGCGGCGAAGGCGGCUUACUGGACGGCAACUGACGUUGAGGCCCGAAAGCGUGGGGAGCGAACAGGAUUAAAUACCCUGG